UAUUGGAGAAACGUUUGCUUCAGCCCAAUGCUUUUAUAAAUGGUCAAAAUUCAGAGGCUUCCUUCUCCUGCAUUUUGAAAGCUAUUAUGAUGAAAUUUGCCAGAAUGGAAGCAAAAAUUAAGUACUCUUAGCCUAUUAAGUUUCAUAAUGUUUGACCCAUCCACUGAUUUUUGGGGAUUUCUGAAGCAACAUUUUUUUAAAAUGUUAGCAGAUUGAUAGCCACGCCUCCCUGUCCUUCUUCCUUCCACUUUGAUUGGCUUGCUAAGGCUUCUGGGAAAUGGAGUUUUUUCUCUCGUUAUGGCGAAUUGCUUCAUUUCCACUUAAAAGAAUGGUCAAUAUUCAGAGGCUUCGUUCUCCUGCAUUUUGAAAGCUAUUAUGAUGAAAUUUGCCAGAAUGGAAGCAAAAAUUAAGUACUCUUAGCCUAUCAAGUUUCAUAAUGUUUGACCCAUCCACUGAUUUUUGGGGAUUUCUGAAGCAACAUUUUUUUUUAAAUGCUAGCAGAUCGAUGGCCAUGCCUCUCCCUCCCUCCCUCUUCCGCUCUGAUUGGCUGAGAGGCAUGCCAACAUGGCUUCUCCUCUCAGAGGGGCUACAGCUGCAUCCGAAGACAUCAGAAACAAACGAAAAAAGUUCUUCUGUGUUUUCUGUAUGGUGAAAAUUCACUAAAAGCAACCAGCAACCAAAAGGAAUAAUAUCAGCCUUUGCAGGCGCAGAGAAACACUGCGAAGAUGGGAGAUGAUGGCAACAAUUCUGUCAAAACAUAAUUCAAGGGGCCAGAAAAGUAGCAGGAGAAUGACUGUCAGGAGGAGGAGGUGGACAAAAUAAAAUAAAAACCAUCCUAGUUUGCUCCUCAUGAAAGAAAACUUCAGUCUGCUUCACAUCAUCUCCUUGAGAGUAUUAAAAAGAAAAACUAGGCCAUCCUAUACAGAGUGCAUUAUCUCUGGAAAUCUUGUAUUCAGAAGAUGGGAGCAGAAAGUUCAUAAAUAACAGUGCCAAAAAAGAGAAAGGGGAGAGAAAGAGAGAGAAAAGAAAAGGAGAAGGGGGGUAGAAGGAGUGGAUGUGUAUCCAACAGCAUUUGGAUGGCAUCCAAGUCAUCAAUGCUGCUGUCAUCUUCUGCGCAUAAUCAGAAAUCCCUUUCAGUGAUGUGGGAAAAAGA
rnacentral:lncRNA from 1 species